GGAAGGGAGGAACUGUGGCUCAGUGGAAGACCUUCCUUUGCAUGCAGGAGGUCCCAGGUUCAAUUCCUGACCUCUCCA
rnacentral:tRNA from 1 species